rnacentral:misc_RNA from 1 species
GCACAAGAUACAACAGCAAGUGUUUUAACUUGGAUUAUAAAGUAUCUUCAUGAUAAUCCAAAGCUUCUUGAGUGUGUCAAGGCUGAACAGAAAGUUAUUUGGCAGUCAAAUGAACAAGAAAAUCAUGGGUUGACAUGGACACAAACAAGAAAGAUGCCUAUCACUAGCAGGGUUGUUUUGGAGACACUGAGAAUGGCUAGUAUCAUAUCUUUUGCAUUUAGAGAGGCUGUAGCUGAUGUGGAAUACAAAGGAUACCUAAUUCCAAAAGGAUGGAAGGUGAUGCCUUUGUUCAGAAAUAUUCAUCACAACCCAGAGUUCUUUCCUGAUCCACAAAAAUUUGAUCCUUCAAGAUUUGAGAAUGCGCCGAAACCCAAUACAUUUAUGCCAUUU